UACGUAGGGUGCAAGCGUUACUCGGAAUUACUGGGCGUAAAGCGUGCGCAGGCGGUUGUGUAAGACAGAUGUGAAAUCCCCGGGCUCAACCUGGGAACUGCAUUUGUGACUGCACGGCUGGAGUGCGGCAGAGGGGGAUGGAAUUCCGCGUGUAGCAGUGAAAUGCGUAGAUAUGCGGAGGAACACCGAUGGCGAAGGCAAUCCCCUGGGCCUGCACUGACGCUCAUGCACGAAAGCGUGGGGAGCAAACAGG
rnacentral:rRNA from 1 species